GACGAACGCUGGCGGCGUGCUUAACACAUGCAAGUCGAACGGAAAGGCCCUGCUUGCAGGGUGCUCGAGUGGCGAACGGGUGAGUAACACGUGGGUGAUCUGCCCCUUACUUUGGGAUAAGCCUGGGAAACUGGGUCUAAUACUGGAUAGGACCAUGCUGUCGGUGGUGUGGUGGAAAGAUUAGUUUCGGUAAGGGAUGAGCUCGCGGCCUAUCAGCUUGUUGGUGGGGUGAUGGCCUACCAAGGCGUCGACGGGUAGCCGGCGUGAGAGGGUGGACGGCGACAUUGGGACUGAGAUACGGCCCAGACGCCUACGGGGGGCAGCAGUGGGGAAGAUUGCACAAUGGGCGCAAGCCUGAUGCAGCGACGCCGCGGGGGGGAUGACGGCCUUCGGGUUGUAAACUCCUUUCAGCCAUGACGAAGCCCUUGUGGUGACGGUAGUGGUAGAAGAAGCACCGGCUAACUACGUG
rnacentral:rRNA from 1 species